rnacentral:rRNA from 1 species
GUGGGGAAUAUUGCGCAAUGGCCGAAAGGCUGACGCAGCGACGCCGCGUGGGGGAUGAAGCAUUUCGGUGUGUAAACCCCUGUUGCCCGGGACGAACAAGCAGAUUUUUCUGCUCUGACGGUACCGGGUGAGGAAGCACCGGCUAACUCCGUGCCAGCAGCCGCGGUAAUACGGAGGGUGCGAGCGUUGUCCGGAAUCACUGGGCGUAAAGGGCGCGUAGGCGGUCUGCUAAGCGUGCGGUGAAAGCCCGGGGCUCAACCCCGGGUCUGCCGUGCGAACUGGUGGACUAGAGCACUGUAGAGGCAGGUGUAAUUCCGGGUGUAGCGGUGGAAUGCGUAGAGAUCCGGAAGAACACCGGUGGCGAAGGCGGCCUGCUGGGCAGUAGCUGACGCUGAGGCGCGACAGCGUGGGGAGCAAACA